UACGUAGGGUGCGAGCGUUAAUCGGAAUUACUGGGCGUAAAGCGUGCGCAGGCGGCUUCGCAAGUCAGACGUGAAAUCCCCCGGGCUUAACCUGGGAAUGGCGUUUGAAACUACGGAGCUGGAGUAUGGCAGAGGGGGGUGGAAUUCCACGUGUAGCGGUGAAAUGCGUAGAUAUGUGGAGGAACACCGAUGGCGAAGGCAGCCCCCUGGGCCAAUACUGACGCUCAUGCACGAAAGCGUGGGGAGCAAACAGG
rnacentral:rRNA from 1 species